rnacentral:rRNA from 1 species
AUUGAACGCUGGCGGCAUGCCUUACACAUGCAAGUCGAACGGUAACAGGUUAAGCUGGCGAGUGGCGAACGGGUGAGUAAUGUAUCGGAACGUGCCCAGUCGUGGGGGAUAACUGCUCGAAAGAGCAGCUAAUACCGCAUAAGACCUGAGGGUGAAAGCGGGGGAUCGUAAGACCUCGCGCGAUUGGAGCGGCCGAUAUCAGAUUAGGUAGUUGGUGGGGUAAAGGCCUACAAAGCCUACGAUCUGUAGCUGGUCUGAGAGGACGACCAGCCCCACUAGGACUGAGCCGCGGGCCAGACUCCUACGGGAGGCAGCAGUGGGGAAUUUUGGACAAUGUACGCAAUUCUGAUCCGGCCAUGCGGCGUGCGGGGAGAAGGCCUUCUGGUUGUAAGCCGCUGUUGUCAGGGAAGAAAAGGUUCUGGUUAAUACCUGGGACUCAUGACGGUACCUGAAGAAUAAGCACCGGCUAACUACUUGCCAGCAGCCGCCGCAGUAA